AGGGCUGGCCGUGGGGAGCUGAGGCACCGCGACCCGCGCCCACUGGGCGUUCGGGCCCUAGCAGCGGGCGGCUGGGGUCUCCCCUCCCACUGUCUGCUCGGAGGUGGUCACGCGCCACGGAAGGAGGCUGCAUCCUCCCACCUGCCCGGGCCCGCCCCCGCCCCGGCGCCCGCCGGGACACUUACUCUUGUUGACGGUUUUGAGAGCGCGCGUGAAGUCGCCGUUCUGGCCAUAACGGUUCACUUCACUCCAGAGCGCAGGUACCGAAACCCCCCCACUGCCGCCGCUCGCCAUCUUGGAGAAGAGGCGGGGCGACCUCUUGCCCCGGAAGAGGAUCUCGGAGGUGCCUAAGCGGAGAAGGAAGCUGGUGGUUGCUAAGCGUUUCGCAGUCGGAAGCGUCUUUAAUACUGAGUUGGCGUCAAAGGCCGCAGUCUUCACUCUCGUACCUAGAAAUUUGCGAAGAUUGAGUCGAUACUCCUUUCUAGAAGCGGGUCUGGAGGAACGAGGCGUCGGAUCCUGGGAAGGGGUUGAAAAGGAUUCACCAAACAGAUUCGGCUAAAAACAGCAAAUUAAAUCAGCUGAAGGGAAUAUCAAAUUCAAGCCUGAUCUUGCAAAGGAUUAAAGAAAACCUGAAGCAUUACCUACCUGUUUGUCUUUUUGUUGGCUUCGAUCUCCUGAUGGCCAGAGUCUCCAGGAAUCAUUAUCAAUAACAUCAGCAAGAACAAUUUCUUUGGUGGUUACAUCAACACCAAAUUCAAUCUAGAAAUAGCACAUCACCAAAGAGUUUUUCAAAAUUACUACUAAAGACAUUUCUUGGUUAUAACCUUUACUUUCAAAACUCCAUUUCAUUGGUACCUUCAUAUCAACCAGUGUACAGUUCUGGGGCAACCAGGAUUUCUCCAGUAUUUCAAAAAUAGCCUGUGUAGCAUGACUCAUGAUAUCCACUUCAGUUUGGCCUAUAACAAGUCCAGCAAAGCAAAAAUUUGCAGCAAUUAGCUGUUCCUCAGACCACUGCGGAUCAUUAUUAGCAUCAUCCUGAGAAAAAAGUAUAGAAGUACAAUUAAAUACAAAAAUUUUCAACUUUUUCAGAUAAACUGAAGUCCUUUUUCCCU